AGAAGGAGAAGAAGAAGAAGAAGAAGAGGAAGAAGAGGAAAGUACGAGAGCAUGGCCUAAACAUCUACAUUAAGACAUAAACUAUGAAUUUAAAACAGUCUAACAGGAGAGACAAAGAGCUGAAAACUUGACCUUAAACAGUGUUCAAGUGACUUAGCUUGGAACUGCCAUCUAAGUGUAACACCAAAGCAAGUGGGAGACAACAUGUGGUGAACUGACUGCAACCCCUAUUCCCCAUUCUCCUGAGUCACUCAGAGGAAGGAGAUACUGCAGACACCAAAUUUUUUAUCUGCUCCAAGGGAAGCCCGAACAAGUUCCAGGAUAAAACUCCAUUUCUGAUUUCUAAAUAUGCAGAAAUCACCUACAGCUUGUAGAUACCUGCUAACAAUUAGUAAUCAGGAAUAAUGACACAAGAGAGGCGGAGGACUGGCUGAAAAACACAUAGAGGAAACCAUGAUCUGUGAGGACACAACGGGUGAAUUGGAAUUUUUUGUCUUAA